UACGGAGGAUCCCAAGCGUUAUCCGGAUUCAUUGGGUUUAAGGGGUGCGUAGGCGGAAUGAUAAGUCAGUGGUGAAAGCCUGCAGCUUAACUGCAGAACUGCCAUUGAUACUGUCAAUCUUGAGUACAUUUGAUGUGGGCGGAAUGUGUCAUGUAGCGGUGAAAUGCUUAGAUAUGACACAGAACACCGAUCGCGAAGGCAGCUCACAAAACUGUAACUGACGCUGAGGCACGAAAGCGUGGGUAUCAAACAGGAUUAGAAACCCUGGUAGU
rnacentral:rRNA from 1 species